ensembl:lncRNA
AGACAAUCAGUGUGAGUGGUCAGCCUGUUACAGGUCAAAGUUCGUGGUCAUCAAUGGUUGAGAUGGACGGCUCUCCAUCUGGUGGGGACUUGGCCUCUGAGGGUCGGGGCUGAAAAAUGUCUGUAGAUAUUUGGUGUGCAGCUGCAUGACAUGAAUUCAAUGAAAGCAGGCACUUAAGCGACUAUGUGUGCACCCAGUAAAAAGCACAAUGUAGGAGCAUUAGUAUGCUAAUGAGGUGCAGGGCGACAGGUGGCCCGCUAGACAGCUCAAUUAAGCAGCUCAUUAAAGGCCAAGCUAACGAAGCGGCCUCCACUGCAAGCCUCAACAAACAGUGUGACUGUGCAGGCUACAAAUUGGCGGAUACCAACAGGUCCUCUCUGACACAAAGCGCCGAGGGGCUGAGGGAGGCGGGCGAGACGAGGGGUGCAUCUUAACCUGAGACGUCCCUCACACAAGUAAAUAUUCUCACACACACCCCACUGCAUGCCACCCACACAGCAAUAUGGAGAUGCGACAUUGAUACAAACUAAGCCUGGGGAGUUUGUGAAGAUGAUGUUUUGUUGUGUUGUUUUUGAAAGGUCUUGGUUAGUGUGGGUGAUGUUAUUGUGUAUGUAAAACGUAUAGAGAAAGAGGGAGGGACAGUAAGAAAGACAAGCACUUUUUUUGGAGGGGGCCAAUCUGUUGCAGCUCUGGAUGAAGUCUUGUGAUGGAAAGACAGUGUGUAAAGCGACAUAUGUGACACAGAGGGACAAUAGGAUUAUGGUCCUCUUCUCGUUAUCCGUGCCUUUGGACAGUGGGAUUAACAUCUGGGGAGUGAAGAUCUCGGGCCGCUAAGCUUCAGUGCGGCCCAGUUCCUCAUCUCUUGUGUGGGGUGGGAAAGCAGGGGUGAAGGGGGUCCCCUGGAGAGUGGGCCGCUACCAGGACUUACAUAUUCAUCAGAGAUCAGAGCUAUGUUC